UCCCUCGUGGCGGAAUGGUAGACGCUGAACUCUGCGAUAGAUUGCUCUAAAAACAAAAUGAGCACAUUGUGCGGGUUCGAUUCCCGCCGUGGGAG
rnacentral:tRNA from 1 species